rnacentral:rRNA from 1 species
GACGAACGCUGGCGGCGUGCUUAACACAUGCAAGUCGAACGGUGAAGCGCCUUCCUUUUUGGUGGGUGUGGAUGAGUGGCGAACGGGUGAGUAACACGUGAGUAACCUGCCCCCUUCUUCUGGAUAACCGCAUGAAAGUGUGGCUAAUACGGGAUAUUCUGGGUCUGUCGCAUGAUGGGUCUGGGAAAGAUAUUGUUUCGGUGGGGGAUGGGCUCGCGGCCUAUCAGCUUGUUGGUGGGGUGAUGGCCUACCAAGGCGGUGACGGGUAGCCGGCCUGAGAGGGUGGACGGUCACACUGGGACUGAGACACGGCCCAGACUCCUACGGGAGGCAGUAGUGGGGAAUAUUGCACAAUGGGCGCAAGCCUGAUGCAGCGACGCCGCGUGAGGGAUGGAGGCCUUCGGGUUGUGAACCUCUUUCGCCAGUGAAGCAGGCCUGCCUCGUUUGUGGGUGGGUUGACGGUAGCUGGAGAAGAAGCGCCGGCUAACUACGUG